UUGGAGCAUGCAGAGGAGAGUUAUACAGCAGUUGAUGUUUCUAGGCGAAGCAUCAAAACUCUAAUGGUCGCCAUGGCCACACCAUUUGGCUUCUGGUUAAACUUUUGAUAACUUUUCCAAACCAAGUCCUGCUGUGUGGACUGACAAAAUUUCAGGUCUCCUGGAAUUAUCCCCUAGGAGGUAUUAACUCUCAAAAAAGAGAAAAAUCAUCAAAAAUCUCACAAUUAAUCCAAGAUGGCCGACUUCCUGUUGGGUUUAGGACAUGGCUCCAAGAGGCUUUUUUGUGCGUCCUGAUGUGCUCUAUAAGCCUCCCAAAUUUCAUGGAUGUAGGUGAAACGUGCUGGGGGGGCUGUUUGUUAAAAAUACUGUAGGGGGCGCUAUAGCAUGUGCAGUGCCGAGAUGCAUACAGUGUUGUUCCUUGGGUCAAUGGUGAUGUGUGUGGUAAUUUUUGUGAGCAUUGGAGUAUUUCUAACCUGUCAAACAGCACUUUGUUUUGCAUGGCGAUAUUUGGUUGCUACGGUAACAGCGUUGCAUGAAAUGUCACACCCUUCACAGUGUGUGAUUGUCAAGAGGUGAAGACUCGACUGACCAAUUUCCAGCAUGAUAUCACCAAGUUUGGGGCCAUUGUACCUGAAAAUAUAAGGCCUUAAACUUACUAUUACCAACAGGUGGCGCUAUGACUUUUUCAAAAUUUAUGAGUGUGGAUGUGUUCAGACUGGACCUGGUAUCCAGCAUGUGAAGUCUGAGGCAGAUAGGAUGUUGUUCAGCUGAGAUAUGAAUCGUUAAAUUUUCAUGGCGAAACAUCGAAAUUGGUUUGGCCGCCACAGACACGCCCUUUGAUGACAAGUCACCAUUUUCACUGGGAUGCAUCAUCAAUGUGUUUAGGCUGUUGUCACUGCAUUUGAAGUGAAUAUGAUCAACCGGGUAACAAUAGGGCAUGAAAGUGUAAAAGAUGUCUAUUUCCUGAAACCACAAGGUGGCGCUAUGACUGUCAAUGAAUAUCCCUAUGUGGAUGACAUCAGGACAGGACUGUCAUCAUACAUGUAAAGUUUCAGGCAGAUUGGAGCAUGUUGAGAAGAAUUAGACACCACUUCCUGUUUCAUGGCGAAGGAUCAGUUGUUUGAGGCUCCGCCAUGGCCACACCUUUUGGCUUCUGGUUGAGUUUUUGAUAACUUUUCAUCAGAAAGGUCUGGUGAAUGUACUGGCCAAAUUUCAGUUCUCUCAGACUUAUCCACUAGGAGCUAUAAAUUUUGACAAAUGUACAGCAAAUUCAAGAUGGCCGACUUCCUGUUGGGUUUAGGGUGUGGCUGUGAUUGACUUUUUGGUGUGUCCUGAUGUGGUGCAUAUGCCCACCAAAUAUUGUAGCUGUAAAUAAAACAUUGUGGAAGUUGGCCUAAUGACCACUUUUUCAAUUUUGCAGGUGGCGCUAUAGAGCCAUUUUUUCACACAUAUGCGCAACUCCCAUAAAAUAUCAAAUUUUUCGCCAGUCCUGAUGUGCACGCCAAAUUUCACGCGUUUUGGUUCAUGAUAAGGCCGCCAAAAAGGCAAGUCAUUUCCCGAGGAGCGAUUAAGUUUGAAAAAUUU